GGCACGAUGGUGAAGUGGAAACACGGCUGUCUGCAAAACAGCUAUGCGGGGGUUCGAUUCCCCCUCGUGCCUCAA
rnacentral:tRNA from 1 species